UACGAAGGGGGCUAGCGUUGCUCGGAAUCACUGGGCGUAAAGGGUGCGUAGGCGGGUUUUUAAGUCAGGGGUGAAAUCCUGGAGCUCAACUCCAGAACUGCCUUUGAUACUGAAGAUCUUGAGUCCGGGAGAGGUGAGUGGAACUGCGAGUGUAGAGGUGAAAUUCGUAGAUAUUCGCAAGAACACCAGUGGCGAAGGCGGCUCACUGGCCCGGUACUGACGCUGAGGCGCGAAAGCUAGGGGAGCAAACGGG
rnacentral:rRNA from 1 species